rnacentral:lncRNA from 1 species
GAAAGCCGUAGGGUUGUGGGCAAGCGAUGGCCGCUGUGUCUGUAGUUACACCAGCACGUGAGAGUGGGGCUAACAGGCUCCUUCAUACGUGUUUAUUCAACACGUAUUUAUUGAACUCGUUCUUACGCCAGAUUCAAAGACCUAGGAGAGAGCAUCUGAGUGAAGGAGCAGACCCCCUUGCUGUCCUGGGACCUUGAGAAGAAGGACCAGGGCACUUCUGCUCCUGCAGAAGAAGUCCCUGGAUCCACCAGCAUCACCUUCAGUGGGAGAGAGAUUUUUGCCACAUGUUGCUGUGUGAUUUCAAGUUAUUCCUUGAAAGGCUAGAAAAUUUACUUUUCAUCAUUAAUACGUUGCCGUUGGGACUUGAAAAGGAUGAGCCUGAAUGCUGUGUGAUUGUUAGAAUCACUGGUACAACCAGCAGAGACUGAUCUCGAGACAAGCAUCUUCAAUGGAGGAGAAACUAAAGACUGGAGGGCACGAACUCCACAAUUGUAGAGGUGUUCUCUCCAGCUCAAAACAACGGUGCAUUGACUGGACAGAAACGCCAAUUGCUAGCACUAAGCCCUGCCGAGUGAACAGGGGAAUUCAAAGAGGCCUGCACUAUGGAAACUGGCACAUUUCAACAGUGUUAAAAUUUACAGUCAACUUUUUUUUUUUCCAGUUUAAAAUGGUUUCCAGCAUCUUCAAACAGCAACUGGUAUAAAAUUUUGAAUAUGUGCUUGUUUUAAGUUCUUAAUCUUUACAUUUAAAACAGUUAUUCCUAAACCCCUUUGCUUAAUUGCAAAACAAAU